rnacentral:rRNA from 1 species
UGCAGGGUAUAGACCCGAAACCCGGUGAUCUAGCCAUGGGCAGGUUGAAGGGUGGGUAACACUAACUGGAGGACCGAACCGACUAAUGUUGAAAAAUUAGCGGAUGACCUGUGGCUGGGGGUGAAAGGCCAAUCAAACCGGGAGAUAGCUGGUUCUCCCCGAAAGCUAUUUAGGUAGCGCCUCGUGAAUUCAUCUCCGGGGGUAGAGCACUGUUUCGGCUAGGGGGCCAUCCCGGCUUACCAACCCGAUGCAAACUGCGAAUACCGGAGAAUGUUAUCACGGGAGACACACGGCGGGUGCUAACGUCCGUCGUGAAGAGGGAAACAACCCAGACCGCCAGCUAAGGUCCCAAAGUCAUGGUUAAGUGGGAAACGAUGUGGGAAGGCCCAGACAGCCAGGAUGUUGGCUUAGAAGCAGCCAUCAUUUAAAGAAAGCGUAAUAGCUCACUGGUCGAGUCGGCCUGCGCGGAAGAUGUAACGGGGCUAAACCAUGCACCGAAGCUGCGGCAGCGACACUGUGUGUUGUUGGGUAGGGGAGCGUUCUGUAAGCCUGUGAAGGUGUGUCGUGAGGCAUGCUGGAGGUAUCAGAAGUGCGAAUGCUGACAUAAGUAACGAUAAAGCGGGUGAAAAGCCCGCUCGCCGGAAGACCAAGGGUUCCUGUCCAACGUUAAUCGGGGCAGGGUGAGUCGACCCCUAAGGCGAGGCCGAAAGGCGUAGUCGAUGGGAAACGGGUUAAUAUUCCCGUACUUGGUGUUACUGCGAAGGGGGGACGGAGAAGGCUAUGUUGGCCGGGCGACGGUUGUCCCGGUUUAAGCGUGUAGGUGUGUGUUCCAGGUAAAUCCGGUUCACUUUAACACUGAGGCGUGACGACGAGGCACUACGGUGCUGAAGCAACAAAUGCCCUGCUUCCAGGAAAAGCCUCUAAGCAUCAGGUAACAUCAAAUCGUACCCCAAACCGACACAGGUGGUCAGGUAGAGAAUACCAAGGCGCUUGAGAGAACUCGGGUGAAGGAACUAGGCAAAAUGGUGCCGUAACUUCGGGAGAAGGCACGCUGACACGUAGGUGAAGUGAUUUACUCAUGGAGCUGAAGUCAGUCGAAGAUACCAGCUGGCUGCAACUGUUUAUUAAAAACACAGCACUGUGCAAACACGAAAGUGGACGUAUACGGUGUGACGCCUGCCCGGUGCCGGAAGGUUAAUUGAUGGGGUCAGCGCAAGCGAAGCUCCUGAUCGAAGCCCCGGUAAACGGCGGCCGUAACUAUAACGGUCCUAAGGUAGCGAAAUUCCUUGUCGGGUAAGUUCCGACCUGCACGAAUGGCGUAAUGAUGGCCAGGCUGUCUCCACCCGAGACUCAGUGAAAUUGAACUCGCUGUGAAGAUGCAGUGUACCCGCGGCAAGACGGAAAGACCCCGUGAACCUUUACUAUAGCUUGACACUGAACAUUGAGCCUUGAUGUGUAGGAUAGGUGGGAGGCUUUGAAGUGUGGACGCCAGUCUGCAUGGAGCCGACCUUGAAAUACCACCCUUUAAUGUUUGAUGUUCUAACGUGGACCCGUUACCCGGGUUGCGGACAGUGUCUGGUGGGUAGUUUGACUGGGGCGGUCUCCUCCUAAAGAGUAACGGAGGAGCACGAAGGUUGGCUAAUCCUGGUCGGACAUCAGGAGGUUAGUGCAAUGGCAUAAGCCAGCUUGACUGCGAGCGUGACGGCGCGAGCAGGUGCGAAAGCAGGUCAUAGUGAUCCGGUGGUUCUGAAUGGAAGGGCCAUCGCUCAACGGAUAAAAGGUACUCCGGGGAUAACAGGCUGAUACCGCCCAAGAGUUCAUAUCGACGGCGGUGUUUGGCACCUCGAUGUCGGCUCAUCACAUCCUGGGGCUGAAGUAGGUCCCAAGGGUAUGGCUGUUCGCCAUUUAAAGUGGUACGCGAGCUGGGUUUAGAACGUCGUGAGACAGUUCGGUCCCUAUCUGCCGUGGGCGCUGGAGAACUGAGGGGGGCUGCUCCUAGUACGAGAGGACCGGAGUGGACGCAUCACUGGUGUUCGGGUUGUCAUGCCAAUGGCACUGCCCGGUAGCUAAAUGCGGAAGAGAUAAGUGCUGAAAGCAUCUAAGCACGAAACUUGCCCCGA